rnacentral:lncRNA from 1 species
CUUACAGCAUCUUGGCCACCGCCUUCAAUUCCUGUACUUGACAGCUUCUAACUGCACUUUAUGUUUAAUCUUCAAGAGGCCGGAAAGCUUUGGGCUGAAACAGCUCUGGAGUGCUCCCAUAUGAGAGCCAAUAAUGUGUGGUUCUCAUCUGCCAUUGAGGUAUGCUGUGCUGUUGUAGGUUUCUCUAGGAAAAUAAACAGAAGUACU